rnacentral:rRNA from 1 species
CCCUUAGAUGUUCUGGGCCGCACACGCGCUACACUGAAGGAGGCAGCGUGUACUCCUGGAUCGAAAGAUUUGGGUAACCCGCGAAUCUCCUUCGUGCUAGGGAUUGAGGUUUGCAAUUAUCCUUCAUGAACGAGGAAUUCCCAGUAAGUGCAAGUCAUAAGCUUGCGCUGACUACGUCCCUGCCCUUUGUACACACCGCCCGUCGCUACUACCGAUUGAAUGGUCCGGUGAAAAUUUCGGAUAGUGGCGAUGCUGGCGGUUCGCCGCCGGCGCUGCCGCUAGAAGAUCUUUAAACCUUAUCAUUUAGAGGAAGGAGAAGUCGUAACA